CCUACGGGUGGCAGCAGUGAGGAAUAUUGGGCAAUGGACGAGAGUCUGAACCAGCCAAGUAGCGUGAAGGAUGACUGCCCUCGGGGUUGUAAACUUCGUUUAUAUGGGAGUAAAAUGUUCCACGUGUGGGGUUUUGUCUGUACCAUAUGAAUAAGGGUCGGCGAAGUCCGUGCCCGCAGCCGCGGUAAUGCGGAGGAUCCGAGCGUUAUCCGGAUUUAUUGUGUUUAAAGGGAGCGUAGGUGGAUUGGUAAGUCAGUUGUGAAAGUUUGCGGCUCAACCGUAAAAUUGCAGUUGAAACUGGCAGUCUUGAGUACAGUAGAGGUGGGCGGAAUUCGUGGUGUAGCGGUGAAAUGCUUAGAUAUCACGAAGAACUCCGAUUGCGAAGGCAGUUCACUGGACUGCAACUGACACUGAGGCUCGAAAGUGUGGGUAGCAAACAGGAUUAGAUACCCUAGUAGUC
rnacentral:rRNA from 1 species